rnacentral:tRNA from 1 species
GCUGCUGUAGCGCAAUGGAUAGUGCGUUGGACUUCUAAUCCAAGGGUCGUGGGUUCGAAUCCCGCCUGGGAUG